rnacentral:tRNA from 1 species
GGUAGCGUGGCCGAGCGGUCUAAGGCGAUAGUUUAAGGCACUAUUCUCUUCGGAGGCGUGGGUUCGAAUCCCACCGCUGCCA